rnacentral:rRNA from 1 species
GCGGAAAGGCCCUUCGGGGUACUCGAGCGGCGAACGGGUGAGUAACACGUGAGCAACCUGCCCCAGGCUCUGGGAUAACCCUCGGAAACGGGGGCUAAUACCGGAUAGGACCUUUCACCGCAUGGUGGGGGGUGGAAAGUUUUUUCGGCCUGGGAUGGGCUCGCGGCCUAUCAGCUUGUUGGUGGGGUGACGGCCUACCAAGGCGACGACGGGUAGCCGGCCUGAGAGGGCGACCGGCCACACUGGGACUGAGACACGGCCCAGACUCCUACGGGAGGCAGCAGUGGGGAAUAUUGCACAAUGGGCGAAAGCCUGAUGCAGCGACGCCGCGUGAGGGAUGACGGCCUUCGGGUUGUAAACCUCUUUCAGCUCCGACGAAGCGCAAGUGACGGUAGGAGCAGAAGAAGCGCCGGCCAACUACGUGCCAGCAGCCGCGGUAAGACGUAGGGCGCGAGCGUUGUCCGGAUUUAUUGGGCGUAAAGAGCUCGUAGGCGGCUUGU